UAUGGUCCUCGGUGGGCAUCUUGGGUUGAAGUACCACUGGCUACAGGUGAGGGUGCCCUGUGCCUUUUCCCAGACUUCCUGGUUUGUCAGAGCUGCAGCUUUACUGGCCUGGGAGGAAAGUUCCACCGCCUGGCUGACAAGCCUGCAGAACUCCAGGUCUUUCUCAGGGACCAAGCCCUUCAGUUCCUGCAGCAAACGGUUCAGCUGUGCCCUGGCGUCCUGCACUUGUGCACUGGCAUCCGGGGAACAGAUGCUCAGCUCACUCAGAAGCUGCAGGGUGGUCCUCAGGGCUGGCUCCUGCCCACUUCCUUCCAUGUGGACAGCCUGCACGGGCAGCUUGUGUCACGUAGUGUCACAGGACUCUGGCCAGUGUCUUGUAUUGCUCUUUGAAGCACUCUAACACAGGAUGAAGAGGGUUCAGCACCUCCGUCCAAAGUGGAAGAAUGGUGGAUUCCUCAGAGCAGGGAGUAGCGUGAAGCCUGCAGCCUCUGAUGCUGGUGCUGUCCCCAAGACAAAGGGAAGGAGAGAGCAAGGAGAAAGAGUAGUCCAGUCCUGGUAGCUGCAAUAUGACAAGAAAACAGAAAAGGUUUCUGCAGCAGCCAAAGGAGAGAAGCCACCUGAGGGAAGGAAGGCCAGCACAUUGCCUAGGAGCAGAGAAGAGAGCCAAGUGAUGGGGGACGGGCAACCUGCAGUCCGCCAUGCUGGAAGGGCAUGGAUCUGCCAGACCUACACCUCUCCACCAUCGAUGACAAAAGAGGGUGUGUCUUCCCACUCUUGGUGCUUCCUUCCUGUAAAGGGAACCUAAUUAACAUCCCCUCCUCUCCCACCCCACCCCACCCCACCCUGUACAAACAUUCGAACCCUAGUGGAGGAUGUACUUCAUUAGUAAAUGUGGAGAAGCAGCUGUGAAUGGUUAGCCCCACUGUUCUGUUUCAUGUCGGGGGCUAGGGCCAGCCAAGGCUAGCACAGGCUCACCAUUGCUCCAAGGUGCUGUAGUGUCUUCUUUAUAGCAGGAGAUUAAGGGUUGAGCUCUCUCUUCUCUACUUCUGCGGAGCACUGCUGGGCAUGGUGGGAAACCUCCUGGGUCUAGGGUUCAGGCAGCAAGUUCAUUUACCAAGUGUUGUAAGGAAGAGAGGAUGCUUAUAGAGACCUGAUAUAUGUUCUUUCUCUGUUCUCUCUGUCUUUGUCUGUCUGUGUGUGUGUGUGUGUGUGUGUGUGUGUGUGUGUGUGUGAGAGAGAGAGAGAGAGAGAGAGAGAGAGAGAGAGGAGAAUGAAUGUUUUGUGUCUAUUAGAAAUUGAAGCCAGGGCCUUGCACAUGCUAGAUGAGUACUUCACUAUCAAGCUAAAUAUCUAAUCUUGUCCUUCUCUUCUAACUUUUUUAAAUGAUUUUUUAAAUUUAAUCUAAUUGUUGGGAGUUUGGGGAACUGAACACGAGGCUUCACUAAAGCUGGAAAAGGGUUCUACCACUCAGGCAACCCCAGUCUCAUUUCUUAAUCUCUGCAGAAUAUGGGUGAAGAACAAAAAUGCAGCUUAGUGGGAGAGUGGCUCCGAGACCUCUGUGUUGGAAUCGUUGGGUUUUAUGCACGCAUACAGACAGCUACAUUCACACCCAGAGCCCUAUCCACUGUACCCUGUAGCCUGCUUCCUUCCAGAACUCAUCCUUGAACCUGUGGGCACCUGGGUGGGGCUUUACACAUACUAUUCAAGUGAAGGAAAUAGAAGCGCUCUCAACCUAAUGAAAGCUAUGACGAGGCUCCUCCUACCGUGUUACAAAGCCUUCUGCUAAGAUCGCCUUUCCUUUUAGAAGUAUCUGGAAAACAUCUUGGGGUCCACCCUACCACCUGCUUCCACACCGAAGCAUCUUACUUUCUUAAACCAAGGAUGUGUAUUCCGGGAAGAUGGGCUUGAUUUUAUAUGGUUCCUCAGGCCGCCUUCUAGGUGGCAGGGUUUCCUGGUUCAUUCACAAGAGGCUCCCCAGGGCCAUCUUUGGGUUGGCACUGUGCUGUGUGCUAAGGCAACAGAAGGUGGAGACACAUUCGGGUCCUCAUGCUACCAGCUCCUGAGAGAGAGGGAAGGUCGGAGCUUGAGAAAGGUUCCCUGAUGGUUCGAGGGCCAAGGAAGAACAUGGCCAGGAUUCUCAGCGAACAGCUAGGAAAACAAAACAGAACAAAACAAAAACAAACAAACAAAAAGCCAAACCAAAACACACCAAUAAGUGGCCUUUCAUUUUUCUAAAUGAGUUUCUCCUUUCCUGGUAAAUUUUCUUUUUUUCUUUUUCUUUUUCUUUUUCUUUUUCUUUUUCUUUUUCUCUUUCUCUUUCUUUUUCUUUUUCUUUUUACACAAUGACAUUUUACUCAGCUGUUAAGAUUGAAACUACAUUAUUGGCAGAAAAAUGGAUGGAACAGGAGAUGAUGUUAAGUAAAAUAAGCCUGACUCAGACAUAUAUCGUAUGCUCGCUCUUAUAUAUAUAUGCAGAGCCCAGGUUUAUAUAAUGCAUGUACAUACAUAACAAGAUAAAACAGAAGUGGGGGCUACUUGGAUGGGAAAAGGACCAGCAAGGAGGAAUGAGCACGAGAGGGUACAGGGGAACAAGGGAUAGUGAUACACAUGCCUAAGAGCCUUGUAGGGAACUUAUAAUUCUGUAUUUCCUUUCUGGCAAUGCUCUGUGCCUGUUAGUCAGUUUGCCAGAGACCACCCAUCUCCAUAUGUCCAUAUCCAAGUAGCAGAUUGUCAGGUUCUCGGCCAUCUUAACAGAGCUCAGUGAGCAAGCUCACCCAACCUCCUUCAGAGUACUUUGACAUUUCUCCACCUUCCGCGGUGUUACAGCCAAGGUGAGUCAAAUGGAAGGAACCUUAUUCCUCUUUGACAGUUUGACAGGAUAAGCCUGAGAGGGAAGCCACAUCAAAAAGGGUGCCUGCUGGCCACCAUUAGGUGACUUCUGCACAAAUGAGUCAGUCCAAGUCAAGGCUUCCUUUCCACAGGGGGGGGGGGGGUAGGUUUUCCAUUCACACAGGUACCCACAGCCAUUUUGCUGAGCACAUGUAAGAUGAACCACGUUGUGGCGUUCGGUAUUCAACAUGACUUUGUAUUGACAAAUCGAUUCUGGGCCCAAAGAAAACUUACCUAGUUGUCACUCAAAAGAUGUAGACCCAUUUGGUGACCAGAGUACAGAAUCCAGGCAAAUAAACGUCAUAGAUUAAAACACCUGAAACUUAAAAUCGUGGUGAUAUUUAACAUGGCGUCCGGCUUCUAUUUUGUUUUGGGACAGGGUCUUGUAGCCUAGGCUGGUUUUGAACUUGAAACGAGCCACUUGCUUUAGUCUCCCAGGUAUUAGAAUUUCAGGCAUGUGUCACCUUACCUUGUUUUAAGCUUUCUGUGUUUUCAUUUUAUUUUAUUAUGCUGAGGUUUGAAUUACUGGCCUAUAGCCCCAUCUCUGGUUGUUAAACAUCGGUUCUCUGUUCUGUAAAAAAAAUAAAAUAAAAAGUAAAAUCACAAUUUUUAUCAGGUGGGAUGAUGAAAGAAGUGCCCUCAUAAGGCUGUGAGGUUUCAGGGAGGUAACCCUUGUAAGAAAUAAGCCAGCAAAAGAAAAUGAAAGCAUAGACUCAGUUCUGUUGGCACCAGGAUAUUCCAAACCUAUGAGUUAACAGUGUGACCUGCGGCCUGCAGACCGGUUGCCAAGCCAACGACCACCAUAUCCCAGAACCCACUUGGUUCACCUCCCACCCUUAUUUGUGUUACGUCAUUUUCCUUAUAAAUAAGAACACCCUGUACUGGCUAGUUUUGUGUCAACUUGACACAGCUGGAGUUAUCACAGAGAAAGGAGCUUCAGUUGGGGAAAUGCCUCCAUGAGAUCCAACUGUAAGGCAUUUUCUCAAUUAGUGAUCAAGGGGGAAAGGCCCCUUGUGGGUGGGACCAUCUCUGGGCUGGUAGUCUUGGUUCUAUAAGAGAGCAAGCUGAGCAAGCCAGGAGAAGCAAGCCAGUAAUGAACAUCCCUCUUAUGGCUUCUGCAUCAGCUCCUGCUUCCUGACCUGCUUGAGUUCCAGUCCUGACUUCCUUGGUGAUGAACAGCAGUAUGGAAGUGUAAGGUGAAUAAACCCUUUCCUCCCCAACUUGUUUCUUGGUCAUGAUGUUUGUGCAGGAAUAGAAACCCUGACUAAGACACACCCCUUCCUUGCUCUCUUUCUUUCUUCUCUCCCUUUCUUCUCGCCCCUUCCACUCGCCCUGCCAUUCCCUUGUCUCUCCCUCUCAAUAAACCUCUUUCACGUGGAACCACUUUGGCCUAGUGUGCUGUGGGCUACACAGAGAAACCCUGUCUCGAAAAACC
rnacentral:lncRNA from 1 species